rnacentral:sRNA from 1 species
GAAGACAUUUUGCAAUCCCGUUUCUCGCAUAAUUUCUUUGAAGUUUAAUUUUUUUGUAUAAAAUGG